GCAGCUGGAGGAUGUAUUGCAAGGAGUCUGACCUUAUUCCGUGGUGUUGGGAUGGUUAAACUGGCCUCAUCACAACCUACUUGAAUAAGGUAGGACGCCCAGCACAGAACAGCCAAUCAGCGU
rnacentral:precursor_RNA from 10 species